rnacentral:rRNA from 1 species
UAGUAAUCGCGGAUCAGCAUGCCGCGGUGAAUACGUUCCCGGGCCUUGUACACACCGCCCGUCACACCAUGGGAGCCGGUAAUACCCGAAGUCAGUAGUCCAACCUCGUGAGGACGCUGCCGAAGGUAGGAUUGGCGACUGGGGUGAAGUCGUAACAAGGUAGC